rnacentral:rRNA from 1 species
UGGGGAAUAUUGGACAAUGGGCGAAAGCCUGAUCCAGCCAUGCCGCGUGUGUGAAGAAGGUCUUCGGAUUGUAAAGCACUUUAAGUUGGGAGGAAGGGCAGUAAGCGAAUACCUUGCUGUUUUGACGUUACCGACAGAAUAAGCACCGGCUAACUCUGUGCCAGCAGCCGCGGUAAUACAGAGGGUGCAAGCGUUAAUCGGAAUUACUGGGCGUAAAGCGCGCGUAGGUGGUUCGUUAAGUUGAAUGUGAAAGCCCCGGGCUCAACCUGGGAACAGCAUCCAAAACUGGCGAGCUAGAGUAGGGCAGAGGGUGGUGGAAUUUCCUGUGUAGCGGUGAAAUGCGUAGAUAUAGGAAGGAACACCAGUAGCGAAGGCGACCACCUGGGCUCAUACUGACACUGAGGUGCGAAAGCGUGGGGAGCAAACAGG